UACGUAGGGUGCAAGCGUUAAUCGGAAUUACUGGGCGUAAAGCGUGCGCAGGCGGUGAUGUAAGACAGAUGUGAAAUCCCUCGGCCCAACCGAGGAACUGCGCCCGAGACUGCUUCUCUUGAGUCCCGGAGAGGAAGAUGGAAUUCCCGGUGUAGCGGUGAAAUGUGUAGAGAUCGGGAGGAACACCGGUGGCGAAGGCGGUCUUCUGGACGGUGACUGACGCUGAGGCGCGAAAGCGUGGGGAGCAAACGGG
rnacentral:rRNA from 1 species